rnacentral:misc_RNA from 1 species
AAGUCGUAACAAGGUUUCCGUAGGUGAACCUGCGGAAGGAUCAUUAAAGAAUUAGGCUUCGCGGCCAAGUUCUCACCCUUCUGUAUCACCAGCAAAUUCCGAUUGGUUGGCCUUUGGCAGGUCCCCUGCGAUUCCUCGGGCCUGCCAGAUGGUUAAUCAACCUAGAAUCUCUGCUGUCUGAGUACUAUACAAUAGUUAAAA